AAUAUAGGAGCGCAUGCGGGUGUCUGCUUAUAACAGCAGAUGAAAAGGGAAUCCGGUGAAAUUCCGGAACUGCCCCCGCAACUGUGAGUGCGAGCGAAACCUCCGGACCACUGCACAUGACGGUGACCGCUGCUUGUGUGGGAAGGGGAGGGAGUAGGAUGAAGCACGAGUCAGGAGACCUGCCCGAAUGCGAUGCUUUUC
rnacentral:ncRNA from 1 species